UAUUUUGAAGAUCUAUGUCUUUAAUUAAUUAUGCAAGUCGCCAAAUCAGGCCUUAGCUUAGAGAAUAGAACAAGCACAAUUACCACGUUUCAAACGAAAAGACGGAAGCUCUAACAAAAAUAAUAAUAAUAAACUCGAAAUUUGAAUCAGCGCUGUUCUUGAUUUUUUUUUAAAAAUUCGCGCAUUUGACGCCAUGUUGGCAGUAACGACAGCGCUCCACUUGAAUUAGCGUUCACUUUGGGUUACUAAAAUAAAUAAGAUAAAUUGUGUGACGCCUGAAGCUGCCUGAAGCAGUUGCAAGCAGUUGAACGCCAUUUUUGCUUGUCUUGUCUCUUGUGUUUUUUGUGUGUAUUUUUGAGAGUAUAAAAAAAUGUUUGUCAAUAUUUGGAAUGACUGGAGUGUACCAGAUGAUUUGUCUGAACAUAUUGGAGGUUUUUACUGAUACAGCUUGUGAUAGCUGAUCUAAGAUAGUUUGUAAGAGUAUGAAAGUAAUUUGGUGAAUAUUUGAAAUGACUGGAAUGUACCUGUUGAUUAAUCUGAACAUAUUGAAGAUUUUUCCACUGACACAGCUGAUGCUAGCUGGUCUAAGGAGGACCAUUUAAUUUAAUAACUGGAGAACCAGUUAAUUGAAUGAUUAAAGGAUCAUUUGAUUAAAUAACUGGACGACCAUUUAAUUAAAUAACUGGAAGAUCAUUUAAUUAAAUAAUUGGAAAAUCUACGUUGGAUGAUGAACA